rnacentral:rRNA from 1 species
GAUGAACGCUGGCGGCGUGCCUAAUACAUGCAAGUCGAGCGAACGGACGAGAAGCUUGCUUCUCUGAUGUUAGCGGCGGACGGGUGAGUAACACGUGGAUAACCUACCUAUAAGACUGGGAUAACUUCGGGAAACCGGAGCUAAUACCGGAUAAUAUUUUGAACUGCAUGGUUCAAAAGUGAAAGACGGUCUUGCUGUCACUUAUAGAUGGAUCCGCGCUGCAUUAGCUAGUUGGUAAGGUAACGGCUUACCAAGGCAACGAUGCAUAGCCGACCUGAGAGGGUGAUCGGCCACACUGGAACUGAGACACGGUCCAGACUCCUACGGGAGGCAGCAGUAGGGAAUCUUCCGCAAUGGGCGAAAGCCUGACGGAGCAACGCCGCGUGAGUGAUGAAGGUCUUCGGAUCGUAAAACUCUGUUAUUAGGGAAGAACAUAUGUGUAAGUAACUGCGCACAUCUUGACGGUACCUAAUCAGAAAGCCACGGCUAACUACGUG